UACGUAGGGUGCGAGCGUUAAUCGGAAUUACUGGGCGUAAAGCGUGCGUAGGCGGUUCGCUGUGUCCGAUGUGAAAGCCCCGGGCUUAACCUGGGAAUGGCAUUGGAAACUGGCGGGCUUGAGUGCGGCAGAGGGGGGUGGAAUUCCGCGUGUAGCAGUGAAAUGCGUAGAGAUGCGGAGGAACACCGAUGGCGAAGGCAGCCCCCUGGGUCGACACUGACGCUCAGGCACGAAAGUGUGGGGAGCAAACAGG
rnacentral:rRNA from 1 species